UGGGAUAGUCAGUCUGUGUUGCUAAUUACGCGUCACACUCCUGCAGUUUUCUUGUAAUCUGAUUUCUUUUUCUCUUAGCCCUGUGAUUGAUAUCAAUAUGCUCCCCUGCUUUCCUCCUCCAACUACUUCUCCCUCCUUUGCCCCUGGAGAUUUGGCACUCUUGGUUGGAGACUUUUGUAGAGUUUUUCUGUUGCCAGUCCAGGAUCUGGACUGGCAUUAUUUCUGAUAGGCAUUUUAACUGGAUUCAACCCAGACAUGUUAAAUGGUUGAAGUAAAUUAAUUGUGUUGUCUCUGUCAAUAAAAGAGCCACCACAGCCAAGCCAACAGAAAAGGCUAUAACAGUAAUGGACAAUUUAAAGAUUCAUUAACAAAUACCGAGGAUAGCACCGUAAUUCCCAACCUUUCAUCGCUCAAAUACUGAACAACACACAUUAAAGAUACCAGAAAAGAGACCAUAUGAUACAAAACAGACUGAAGUUGAUCAGUUAUUUUACUUACCAUUAUAAACAUCCAAAUGUGAAUUACGUCCUAGCUGUCUUGCAUAUUUUCAGAUCUGCGCCCGCAAAAUGAUGACACUAUUUUAGAUGUGUCAACUUCUUUUCUCCUUUUGUCUCCUCUGGAAAAUACUCCCCUAUCUGAUAAUUUCCCCUCCUUCACUGAGUCUCUUUAAUUGUUUAAGAUAUUUGAUAUAGGCUGAAGUGGAUUUGGAGCCUCAACUUUUACUUCACUUGUUCGUAGGAUGGUGGCUAAAGGAUGUACAAGAAACAAAAAUGACAGGAAAAUCCUAGAAUUCAAGUACUGCUUCUGCCUCUCCUCUUGGGCAGAGAAGAAGCCACAGGCUUGCAGCUGUUUUGGCAACAGAAGAAAAAAUCCCCAUAACAAAUCAAAUAAAAGCCCUUUCUGUGAAGAGGAAUUGAAAACAGCAGGCCUCAAAGAGGACUGCACAUGAGCUGCCUUGUUCUGGCUUUCAACACAGCUCCAAUCAGAAACACAUUACCAUAAUCUGAAACAGCCCACUGCUAACACAAGACAGAUGGUGGGUAAUAACCCAUGCAUCAUUAAUAAAUAAAUUCCAGAAUUAAAGGCUUUACA
rnacentral:lncRNA from 1 species